rnacentral:rRNA from 1 species
GACUAAGCGUACACGGUGGAUGCCCUGGCAGUCAGAGGCGAUGAAGGACGUGCUAAUCUGCGAAAAGCGUCGGUAAGGUGAUAUGAACCGUUAUAACCGGCGAUGUCCGAAUGGGGAAACCCAGUGCAAUUCGUUGCACUAUCGUUAACUGAAUACAUAGGUUAACGAGGCGAACCGGGGGAACUGAAACAUCUAAGUACCCCGAGGAAAAGAAAUCAACCGAGAUUCCCCCAGUAGCGGCGAGCGAACGGGGAGCAGCCCAGAGUCUGAAUCAGCUUGUGUGUUAGUGGAACGGUCUGGAAAGUCCGACGGUACAGGGUGAUAGUCCCGUACACCAAAAUGCACAGGUUGUGAACUCGAAGAGUAGGGCGGGACACGUGGUAUCCUGUCUGAAUAUGGGGGGACCAUCCUCCAAGGCUAAAUACUCCUGACUGACCGAUAGUGAACCAGUACCGUGAGGGAAAGGCGAAAAGAACCCCGGCGAGGGGAGUGAAAAAGAACCUGAAACCGUGUACGUACAAGCAGUGGGAGCACCUUCGGGUGUGACUGCGUACCUUUUGUAUAAUGGGUCAGCGACUUAUAUUCUGUAGCAAGGUUAACCGUAUAGGGGAGCCGCAGGGAAACCGAGUCUUAACUGGGCGUUAAGUUGCAGGGUAUAGACCCGAAACCCGGUGAUCUAGCCAUGGGCAGGUUGAAGGUUGGGUAACACUAACUGGAGGACCGAACCGACUAAUGUUGAAAAAUUAGCGGAUGACUUGUGGCUGGGGGUGAAAGGCCAAUCAAACCGGGAGAUAGCUGGUUCUCCCCGAAAGCUAUUUAGGUAGCGCCUCGUGAAUUCAUCUUCGGGGGUAGAGCACUGUUUCGGCUAGGGGGUCAUCCCGACUUACCAACCCGAUGCAAACUACGAAUACCGAAGAAUGUUAUCACGGGAGACACACGGCGGGUGCUAACGUCCGUCGUGAAGAGGGAAACAACCCAGACCGCCAGCUAAGGUCCCAAAGUCAUGGUUAAGUGGGAAACGAUGUGGGAAGGCACAGACAGCCAGGAUGUUGGCUUAGAAGCAGCCAUCAUUUAAAGAAAGCGUAAUAGCUCACUGGUCGAGUCGGCCUGCGCGGAAGAUGUAACGGGGCUAAACCAUGCACCGAAGCUGCGGCAGCGACACUAUGUGUUGUUGGGUAGGGGAGCGUUCUGUAAGCCUGCGAAGGUGUGCUGUGAGGCAUGCUGGAGGUAUCAGAAGUGCGAAUGCUGACAUAAGUAACGAUAAAGCGGGUGAAAAGCCCGCUCGCCGGAAGACCAAGGGUUCCUGUCCAACGUUAAUCGGGGCAGGGUGAGUCGACCCCUAAGGCGAGGCCGAAAGGCGUAGUCGAUGGGAAACAGGUUAAUAUUCCUGUACUUGGUGUUACUGCGAAGGGGGGACGGAGAAGGCUAUGUUAGCCGGGCGACGGUUGUCCCGGUUUAAGCAUGUAGGCUGGUUGUCCAGGCAAAUCCGGAUAA